GACGAACGCUGGCGGCGUGCUUAACACAUGCAAGUCGAACGGUAAGGCCCUUCGGGGUACACGAGUGGCGAACGGGUGAGUAACACGUGGGUGAUCUGCCCUGCACUUCGGGAUAAGCCUGGGAAACUGGGUCUAAUACCGGAUAGGACCCUGGGAUGCAUGUCCUGGGGUGGAAAGCUUUUGCGGUGUGGGAUGGGCCCGCGGCCUAUCAGCUUGUUGGUGGGGUGAUGGCCUACCAAGGCGACGACGGGUAGCCGGCCUGAGAGGGUGACCGGCCACACUGGGACUGAGAUACGGCCCAGACUCCUACGGGAGGCAGCAGUGGGGAAUAUUGCACAAUGGGCGCAAGCCUGAUGCAGCGACGCCGCGUGAGGGAUGACAGCCUUCGGGUUGUAAACCUCUUUCAGCACCGACGAAGCGCAAGUGACGGUAGGUGCAGAAGAAGGACCGGCCAUCUACGUGCCAGCCGCCGCAGUAA
rnacentral:rRNA from 1 species